rnacentral:rRNA from 1 species
AUACGGAGGGUGCAAGCGUUAUUCGGAAUCACUGGGCGUAAAGGACGCGUAGGCGGGUUGGCAAGUCAGAUGUGAAAUCCUACAGCUUAACUGUAGAACUGCAUUUGAAACUGCUAACCUAGAGUAUGGGAGGGGGAGAUGGAAUUAGUGGUGUAGAGGUAAAAUCCGUAGAUAUCACUAGGAAUACCGAAAGCGAAGGCGAUCUCCUGGAACAUAACUGACGCUAAGGCGUGAAAGCGUGGGGAGCAAACAGGAUUAGAUACCCUAGUAGUCC